UUUUAACUGUAUCAGAACCUCCCAUUUUGUAGGUUUAAGUGAGACAUUGCACCCUCCCUGUUAAAGAAGAGACUGCUAAAAUAUAAUCAGCACUGGAAAGGGGCUACAAUCCAUUCAAAAUUUCUUUACUAGUUAAAUAAGAUCGCUGAAAGAACGCAAAAGGACAUUGUAUGUUUGUUGGUGCCUUCUCACCGUACGCACAUAAAAACAGAAUUAGGAGGCCCAACUGGAUCCUUGCUUCCAUUAUAAAAUGUGCUUACAUGAUUGCAUCUGGUCUCUGGAACUUCUUUAUUUGAGAAAAUAAAGUGGGAACACGGGUACCUUCUCCAUGUGAAAAUGAACUGUUCUGUCCCAGCCAAAACAAAACAAAAACAAAAACAAAACAAAACAGACAAACAAAAAAGAUACUUCCUAUCUUUCCCUUGUGUGUGCAUUCCUCUUCCACAUGGGAACAAGAUCUCUACAGCACCUAAUUAUUUCAAACAGAAAAGAUCAGACAGAAAUGAUUCAUAUACUCUAUCAUGUUUCCUCCUUAGUUCCUCGGAUGACCCUCAUAAUACAAACUUGGAGUUGGGUGACUCAACAGGUCUAGGGGCUACCAGAAUAACACAAAUGAUUUGAAACAAAACUGUUUUUAAAGCCAAAGUUAUUAUUAUCGGAAAUCCAUUCUCUACUGGUUCCGUGAUCUAUGAGAGAAGUGAAGUGGAGAAAUUAGGAUAAAUCGAGGUUGGACAUUUUAAGGGUAUAAAGACCUUUUGUUGGAUAUCUCAAAAUGCUGCUGUAAGCCAACAAUCCACAUGGAUCCACUGAGUUUCCGCUGAAGAAAUGACUCACUGAAAAACUAUCAACUUAAUGAUUUAAAACAGAAAUACAUGACCACAAUCAUAAUAGAUUCAACUAGCAAAAGUACCUUCCGGUUUAAUUAUAAUUACUUUCAUAAUUAGCUGUGCAAAAGAAAAAUUCAAUUUCAUUAACAUUUAUGUUUCUUUUUCUUCCACUCUGUUUUAUAGGUAAGGAUUCAUGGGAUUUUUAUUCAUCUUGAUAAAUCUUCAAGUUGGGCUCUGAACAAACAGGCUCAGAUGCCAGGACUCUCGGUGACUCAGCUGAGAGUGCAGAGCUUUGGCGACAAAUGGUUGAAUGCCAUGCUCUACAUAAAUUGGACAAGCAAUUAUUUACCACACAACACUGAGCAAAGUAUCAUGUCAUUACACUGAAAGUGGCAUGUGUGUAUUGAACAGAAUUUGGAAAUUAAUAAAGAAUGUUUGCAUUAACUACAGUUGCUGAAUUAAAUGUCAGCAUUGAUCAAAAAUCUGAAACAAUGGAAAUUGUUCUAUAACAGCUGAAAAGUCUUUGUUUGAAAUGAAUUUAUAAAAGUAGAUACUUCGGUCAUGCUAAAUAUUAAGGCAAAUUAUAAAUUCGUUGUUUUUGUAUUCUCCUUCUCAUAGUACCUAAUAUUUUAUAAAACUGAAACAUAUGUAGUAAAUAAUAGUAUCUAUUAUUCCACCAGAAACUUGUAUUUUAAAACAAUGUGCGAGAAGAUUUUAAUGACAGCCAUAUGGAAUGGUGAGAAUGUAUUUUUAACAUCUAAACAUGCCUUCUAAUUUUUUGACAAUAAAGAUACAUUGGUUGUGUUAAGAAAGCCUGGUGUUAUUUAAUACUAAGCAUUUCAUUCUGACCUUUAUUUAAUCAUAUAAGUCUCAGUUUCUCCCAUCUUUUGAAUAAUAUAUCUCCAAUGAAAUAGCCACAUAAGUAUCUAGGCAUGGUGGUGCACACUUUUAUUUCCAUCAAUUAGGAGGAAGAGUCAGUAGGAUCUCUGUGAGUUCAUGGCUAGCCUGGUUUACAUAUGGAGGUUGAGGAUAGCUAAGAAUAUAUGAACAGACCCUGUC
rnacentral:lncRNA from 1 species